rnacentral:tRNA from 1 species
GUCGGGAUAGCUCAGUUGUAGAGCAGGGACUGAAU